UGAUAUUGCAUCUGUAAAGAAGGUAGGAUCGAGUGGGACCCGGAAGUGGUGUGGAUUAAUUGCAAUGCUUACCGUGCAGUUUCCACGUUGCUCUAAAGGAAUUUAAACCCUUCAUUCAUCAUUUUUUAAUUUUCGGCUUCAAAAAUCAAAUGACAACUGGAUAGCUACCAUUUCACUAGUACCAGUAUGAACUCGUGGGUCUCAUAUGUUGGAGGUGUGGAACCUGACUCAACUGCCUCAGACCAUCUUCAUGUUGGAUGGAUGUGUAUUAGAGACUCUAAUGGCCAUCACUCUGUUUUAGCAAAAAUUGGUGGAUUUUGAAUUUGAUUCCAAAUGUAAAUAUAUAAAAUUGAAUUUUUUUUUUAUUCAA